rnacentral:rRNA from 1 species
AUGAACGAACUUCCCAAUGAAAUAAGCACACUGUAUAAUCUACAGACCCUUAACCUUACUGGUUGCCGGAAUCUUAGUCGACUUCCAAAUGAUAUGAAGUAUAUGACAAAUCUCCGCCACCUCUACACAAAUGGAUGUACAUCAUUGGAGUGCAUGCCUCCAGACCUUGGGCAACUCACUUCUCUACAGACUCUAACAUACUUUGUUGUGGGUUCUAGUCCUUAUUGCAGUAAUAUUGGAGAACUACGGGAUUUAAAUCUUGGUGGCGAAUUAAAUCUAUCUGGUCUUCAGUAUGUAACUGAACAAGAUUCUAAAGCAUGCAGUCUUAGCAAUAAAAAGAAACUCACACAUUUAUCUCUUGAAUGGAGCGAUGACAGCAGUGGGCAACUGAACCAGCACAGGGAUGUGCUUAAUGCUCUUAAACCCCUUGCUGCGCUCCAGUUGCUAAGCAUACACUGCUAUAGAGGUACUGGCUUCCCGACAUGGGUGAUAAGUCUCAGUUUUCUGGAGCAUUUGACCGAGCUCUGCCUAGAUGGUUGUACAAUGUGUGAGGAAUUUCCCCAAUUUGGUCAAUUUAAGGCCCUUAAAUUCUUGUUUUGA